AGCCACGCUCUGGCUUUCCUGUGCGCCUGGGCACCAGAGCCUUGUGACUGCCAUGCCUCAUCCGCCAGACUCUUGAGUAUCUCUUGGGUCCGGGCGUGGGUGUGUUUCCCUGUUUGGUGUCUGCAAUGGCAGGCGAGGAGCCCCUCAGCACCGUGGGCCUCAUCCUGGGCGUCUUCCUCUCCCUCCUGGUCCUGGGCAUCUCCGGCUGCGCCUUUGCCAGGUGGUGCCGGGAAGGGCGCUGCUGGCCACACAGCACCAGCUUCGUCUUCAACCUUUACCCCACCCG